GACGAACGCUGGCGGCGUGCCUAAUACAUGCAAGUAGAACGCUGAAGAGAGGAGCUUGCUCUUCUUGGAUGAGUUGCGAACGGGUGAGUAACGCGUAGGUAACCUGCCUUGUAGCGGGGGAUAACUAUUGGAAACGAUAGCUAAUACCGCAUAACAAUGGAUGACACAUGUCAUUUAUUUGAAAGGGGCAAUUGCUCCACUACAAGAUGGACCUGCGUUGUAUUAGCUAGUAGGUGAGGUAAUGGCUCACCUAGGCGACGAUACAUAGCCGACCUGAGAGGGUGAUCGGCCACACUGGGACUGGGACACGGCCCAGACUCCUACGGGAGGCAGCAGUAGGGAAUCUUCGGCAAUGGGGGCAACCCUGACCGAGCAACGCCGCGUGAGUGAAGAAGGUUUUCGGAUCGUAAAGCUCUGUUGUAAGUCAAGAACGGGUGUGAGAGUGGAAAGUUCACACUGUGACGGUAGCUUACCAGAAAGG
rnacentral:rRNA from 1 species